UGUAAGCUUCUUCAUUUAGAGACAUGAAAUUACAUGUAGAAUAGGUAAGCUUCUUUACUUCAUGGUUGGAUAACAGGGCCUUCUAAUCUGUUAACUGAUUCCCUUAGAAUACUAGGAAGCUUCAGAGAUAGGAGUGAAGAAUAUCUGAAGAAAGGGAGAUUGUUAUAGUUAUUUGGGUUUUUUUAUAAUGGGCAACCAUUUGGAAAAUUUUGUGUGUAGUCUGAAAUCCAAGUUGAAGGGUAUGCAAAAGAAAAAGCCUUACAGGAAGAUAGAUAAGAGUGAUAGCAUGAGAAUGGAAGUGAAAAGCCAACGUGCACAGAAACUAAUUGCUCAGACUCUUAAGUUUGCUGAUGAGCCUGGUAAAAAAGCUGUUGUAUUUUAAGUAAUAAUCUAAGGAUGUUCUUGGAACUUUCAUCUUUCCUUCCAGUUAUCCAAAUCUGUUUUUCUCUUUUCAGUAGAUCUUAACAGCAAAAGCUAUGGAUGUCUUGUAACUAAAUCUCAAUUAUAAGCAAAAGAAAACACAGGAAAAACCUAUGGUGUCACAACUUUGUAUUGAUUGUUUGUUAAUAG